UACGUAGGUGGCAAGCGUUGUUCGGAAUUACUGGGCGUAAAGGGCGCGCAGGCGGUUGGUCGCGUCAGAUGUGAAAGCCCCGGGCUCAACCUGGGAUGUGCAUUUGAUACGGGCUGACUAGAGAUCGGAAGAGGAGUGUGGAAUUCCCAGUGUAGAGGUGAAAUUCGUAGAUAUUGGGAGGAACACCAGUGGCGAAGGCGGCACUCUGGUCCGUAUCUGACGCUGAGGCGAGAAAGCGUGGGGAGCAAACAGG
rnacentral:misc_RNA from 1 species